rnacentral:rRNA from 14 species
UAAGGUAGCGAAAUUCCUUGUCGGGUAAGUUCCGACCUGCACGAAUGGCGUAACGACUUCCCCACUGUCUCCAGGAUAUGCUCAGCGAAAUUGAAUUCUCCGUGAAGAUGCGGAGUACCCGCGGUUAGACGGAAAGACCCCGUGCACCUUUACUGCAGCUUCAGAGUGGUAUUAGGAAAGAGUUGUGUAGCAUAGGUGGGAGGCUUUGAAGUGUCGGCGCCAGCUGACAUGGAGCCAUAGGUGAAAUACCACCCUGCUGUUUUCUGAUAUCUAACCUCGCACCGUUAUCCGGUGUAGGGACCCUCUGUGGCGGGUAGUUUGACUGGGGCGGUCGCCUCCUAAAGAGUAACGGAGGCGCGCGAUGGUAGGCUCAGGACGGUUGGAAACCGUCUGCGAGAGUGCAAUGGCAUAAGCCUGCCUGACUGCGAGACUGACGAGUCGAGCAGAGACGAAAGUCGGUCAUAGUGAUCCGGUGGUCCCUCGUGGAAGGGCCAUCGCUCAACGGAUAAAAGGUACUCUGGGGAUAACAGGCUGAUACCGCCCAAGAGUUCAUAUCGACGGCGGUGUUUGGCACCUCGAUGUCGGCUCAUCUCAUCCUGGGGCUGUAGCCGGUCCCAAGGGUAUGGCUGUUCGCCAUUUAAAGUGGUACGUGAGCUGGGUUUAGAACGUCGUGAGACAGUUCGGUCCCUAUCUGCCGUGGGUGUAGGAUACUUGAGAGGAGUUGCCCCUAGUACGAGAGGACCGGGGUGGACGAACCUCUAGUGUACCUGUUGUGACGCCAGUUGCAUCGCAGGGUAGCUACGUUCGGA